UACGUAGGGUGCGAGCGUUGUCCGGAAUUAUUGGGCGUAAAGGGCUCGUAGGCGGUUUGUCGCGUCGGGAGUGAAAAUCCAGGGCUUAACUCUGGACUGGCUUCCGAUACGGGCAGACUAGAGGUAUGCAGGGGAGAACGGAAUUCCUGGUGUAGCGGUGAAAUGCGCAGAUAUCAGGAGGAACACCGGUGGCGAAGGCGGUUCUCUGGGCAUUACCUGACGCUGAGGAGCGAAAGCGUGGGGAGCGAACAGG
rnacentral:rRNA from 1 species